rnacentral:rRNA from 1 species
GAUGAACGCUGGCGGCGUGCCUAAUACAUGCAAGUCGAGCGAACAGACGAGGAGCUUGCUCCUCUGACGUUAGCGGCGGACGGGUGAGUAACACGUGGAUAACCUACCUAUAAGACUGGGAUAACUUCGGGAAACCGGAGCUAAUACCGGAUAAUAUAUUGAACCGCAUGGUUCAAUAGUGAAAGACGGUUUUGCUGUCACUUAUAGAUGGAUCCGCGCCGCAUUAGCUAGUUGGUAAGGUAACGGCUUACCAAGGCGACGAUGCGUAGCCGACCUGAGAGGGUGAUAGGCCACACUGGAACUGAGACACGGACCAGACUCCUACGGGAGGCAGCAGUAGGGAAUCUUACGCAAUGGGCGAAAGCCUGACGGAGCAACGCCGCGUGAGUGAUGAAGGUCUUCGGAUCGUAAAACUCUGUUAUUAGGGAAGAACAAAUGUGUAAGUAACUAUGCACGUCUUGACGGUACCUAAUCAGAAAGCCACGGCUAACUACGUG